CUCUGGGUCUCGCUCUGUCACCCAGGCUGAAGUGCAGUGGCAUGACCAUAGUUCUCUGCAGCCUUUAACUCCCAGGCUCAAGCGAUCCUCCCACCUCAGCUUCCUGAAUAACUGGGACUAAAGGUGUGGAAACUUGAGUGAUGUUUGUGUUUGUGUUUUCACUGGAGUUUUGUGGAAGGCCAGAUAAGAUGUCUAUAUUCCAAAUGCUGAGAGAUUGUAUUCUGUAGCUGAAACUCCUAGUUCCAUAUUUGAAUAAUUAUUGAAGCAAAUUUGGAUCCUAUGUGAACAUACAGAGCUAUUUUCAGUCAUUAAUUAACAGAGACUUACUGUGGUCAUGUGGAAAUGGACUCCAUUUUCUUUUCCAAAGAAUUUACCCACCACAGUUUCAUCUGGAAACUGGCCAGCUGGAUGAGUCUCAUGUGGUUAGUGCUUAAUCAGCAGGAAUUAACCAGGGACCUUCACUAGAGUGGACCUACCCCAGUUUGGAGACCACUGGAACACAAUACAAUCUUCAGCAAGUUUCUUCAUCUUUCUGACUCUGUGUUUCUCCUUCUGUAUAAUUCAAACAACCAUCUCUGCCUCACAGGGCCAUUUACAUGAUGAAAUAAGAUGACACAGGAAUAAGACACCUCCUAGCUCGGUGCCUGGCCAACAGCAGGCACUUGCUAACUAUGCUUUUCAUCUAUUUUCUUUCCUAACAGAUGUGGCCUCUGCCCGGAAGUGAACCUUGAGGUGGCUGACCCUUCUUCAUCAAGCAGGGAGCUGUGGUUCAGGGCAGGAGCCCAGGGAGCAGGGGCGAUGCAGGGUGUCACUGAGCUCAGACCUCCUGAGUUUGUGAAGUCCAGGAAGCCCCAAGUUGGCAGCGGCCACAUGGGCAAUUGUCUGAGCAAGGGGAAGAGGUUUCUGGGCCACUGUCAGUACAAACAGGGGCUUCCUCAAAGGCAUCAGCUGCAGGCCGAGGAACGGGAGAGCGGGAUGAGGCAGUGAGGGUCUUUGGAGGAGUUCUGAAAGCUUGUCUGGGGUCCCGCUUCAUCUUUAUUAUUGUUACAAAUUAGUUCCAUGAAUCAGUCAGGUCAUUGAGGUUACUCUGAAAGGAAGCAUUUGAGAAGUGGGAGGAUUUCUUCUUUCAUUGUUGGGUGACUAAUACAACAAUCUUUAUUUAUAUAUUAGUCAUGGGAUUCUGUGAGUAUUUUAGGAAAGAAUAGGGACCUUUCAUUCAACACCCAAAGUCUCUGUUUUUAAACUCUUCAGAAGGCCCUGGGAGGAAAACACCUACCCAGCUAUCUUUUCCACCCAAGUAAGAAAACAAAUGAUGCUGAGAACAGCUUCCACAUAAAAUAGAGAUGCUGAAUUCAUCCUUGGUUUUUAAAGCAUCCACUGAGAAAUUCUCAGAAAAUGGAGCAAAUGGUGUAGUGUUCAUCCACAGACACUGGAAGAAAUAGAAAAGGAACAUUCUUUAGUGAAAUGAAACCCUUUGAGUUCUGGGUGCUUCACAGUAUUUGGGGACUCCCCUUGUGGCGCAAGCUGCAGUAGGAGCUACAGGAAUUCAAGAGACAGCAGGAAAUCGCCAGUCAGGGGAAAACUGGGCAGAGAGGAGGGCAAAGUACCAAAUACACCCUCACCAGGCUGGGCAGACUUUCAAAAGCUGAGUAAUGAUGUGGCAUUGUUGCCUGAGUGCCCAGAUUUUACUCACCCUCAUGUUUGGGUAUACAAAACAUUAUUUGCGGAUCUGGAAGGAGAGAUACCCUCAUGUCAUGGUGAGAGUUAAGUUUAAUCAUUCAGAGAUACAAUAACCCAGUGAUUCCUAAAAACAGAGCUCACAUCAAAUGAGCCCCCUGCUGUAGAAAUCACGAUCUUCUGACUGAAAGAUUUCUUUCUUUUCUUUUUUUUUUUUUUUUUUUUUUUUUUGAGGCAGAGUCUCUCUCUCACCCAGGCUGGAGCGCAGUGGCAUGAUCUCGGCUCACUGCAACCUCCACCUCCCAGGUUCAAGCAAUUCUGCCUCAGCCUCUCGAGUAGCUGGGACUACAGGCAUGUGCUGCCACACCUGGCUAAUUUUUAUAUUUUUAAUAGAGACAAGAUUUAUCCGUGUUGGCCAGGCUGGUCUUGAACUCCUGACCUCAGGUGACCUACUGCCUCAGCCUCCCAAAGUGCUGGGAUUACAGGCGUGAGCCACCACGCCCCACUUAAGAUUUCUUUUUUAAUUGUCAGUUUCUAAUGUAUCAUUACUUCUUCCCCAAAUCACUUAAAUCAGACACUUGAUUUCAACCAAUCAGUAGCUUCUACAGGAAGUGUGGCCUUAAUCCUUUGCUUAUUUUCCAAAAUGUGCCCAUGACACACCCAAUGUGUAAUCAAUACAUAUUGUUGCCUGUGUCUACCAUACCCUGGAGACUGAGCCAAGAACAGAGUGAUAUAAACAAAACAUAAACAUACGACAAGUUAAAUAACAACCCCAAACAAUGAACACUGAAGAUACAACAGAAAAUCUAUGUUUAAUUUGCAAAUAACACUAGAGAAGAUGAAACACCAAGUUCCAUGCAGAGAACCAGCUCUGUGGUCCACAGUGGGCUGGAAGUCUUAGGGGAGAGAUAGAUGAGUCUUGACAUAAACCUUAAAAUAUAAGUAGAAGUUAAAAAAACAUGAGAGGCCAAAAGAAGACAUUCCAGGGCAGAAAAAAUAUAUAUAUAUGUGUGUGUGUGUGUGUGUUUGUGUGUGUGAGUAAAGGCUAGAAGUCUGAACAAUGUUGGUAAAGUUUCUUAAAGGGAAGCUUUAUCGCCUGAGACCAGGACCAACCAGCAGAGAAAGCAGUAAGUAGAAGAGCUAAUCUGAUCUCUACCUCUUUAAUGAAAAUGCAGAGCCCCAGUUGGGGGCACAAGGGGAAUCUCUGCUUCCCAUGGGCCCUCAGCCCCAAACCUUGGGGAGUGGGUGGUCCCAAGGGAUUGCAAUCUUGGCUCUUGGAAGUGCCCAGUACCUAGACCAGGAGCAGGUGAGAGGCCCCAAAGUCGCUCACCAUCCCAGGGCAGGCCAAGGCACUUAGGGCCCAUGCUGCACCCGACUCCUCUGCACACAGGGGUAGAGAGUGACAGGAGGCCAUGGACCUCCCCACCAACACCCCUAGGCAGAGAAAGACAGGGCUCUGGAGCAGAGUGCAAAGGGAAGCUGCGCAGGGCCAGGUACCCCAGGAGGCUGGGUGCAUGCGACUGCGAGCAAGUCCCAGAGAGGCAGUGGGAAUACCUGGUGCACCCCUCCCAUCGGACUUCACUUACAAAAUGCAAAUUCCAGCCAGGCACAGUGGCUCACGCUUGUAAUCCCAGCAAUUUCAGCGGCCGUGACAGGCAGAUCAUUUGAGGUCAGGAGUUUGAGACCAGUUUGGCCAAUAUGGUGAAACCCCAUCUCUACUAAAAAUACAAAAAUUAGCUGGGUGUAGUGGCGCAUGCCUGUAAUCCCAGCUCCUCAGGAGGUUGAGGCAGGAAAAUUGCUUGAACCUGGGAGGCAGAGGUUGCAGUGAGCCGAGAUCACACCACUUCACUCUAGCCUGGGUGACAGAGGGAGACUCCGUCUCAAAAAUAUAAAUAAAUAAAACGCAAAUUCCAAUAAGAUUAAGAAUCUCAGGAUGACAAACACAAAGCCUUAAGCCCCAAGCACAAAGCCCUUUCUGAUCUUGCAGCCCUGAGUGACUGCACGGGUCUCCAUUCAUGAGGGACCUGCCGGUGUUCCACGCAGGCUGCCCUCCCUGCCCCAGGAACUCCAUCUACUCCCCACCCAACUUUAGAUUAUGACCACUUUCUAAACAAGUCUGAAAAGCUGCUCUGCUAAUGGUUUACCAGCACCACCGGUGGCGCAUAUGCUGUGCUCACCACGGGAGUCAGUCCCUGGUGGAUCUGGAUCUGGGAGCGAAGGUGGCCCUGUGCCUUCCCUGGAAAGAAUGAAGAACCCGCCGGGAAGGUGCCCUUUCCCAGUGAGCUCGUGCUCACUCUGCAGCGAUGCAGAGCCCAGAGAGGAGGACCUAGGGCUCACGGCAGCAUCUUACGAGUCAAGGCCUCAGAUGUCAGCGAAGGCUCAGGCAGUUUAUUCUUGCACAAACCACAGUCAGCCUUGGAGACAUGGAGAAAGAGUCAGGUGACCCUGAAAGGAGCUGGAGUUUCAACAGUUCACUUGUCUUUACCACAGUCAGAAAAAUACCUUUUAUGGUGAAAACAAUUAACUUAUUCUCACUUCUUUGGUUCAUGUGUCCAAAGUUUCUGGAAUUCUUUUAGCUAACCCAUUUGCCAUUUAAUAAGGGCCUUCUAGAGACAAAAGCUUCCAAACACAAAGAGGUGACCAUUUGCAAGAACUUGAGGCAUUGUUGCAUGUUGGUAAAAAGGAUCUUUUUAAAAACAAGCCUUUAGGCUGGGCUCAGUGGCUCAUGCCUGUAAUCCCAGCCCGGGAGGCUGAGGCCAGCAGAUCACUUGAGGCCAGGAGUUUGAGACCAGCCUGACCAACACGGUGAAACUCCAUCUCUACUAAAAACACAAAAAUUAGCCAGGCAUGGUGGUGAGCACCUGUAAUCCCAGCUACUUGAGAGGCUGAGGCAGGAGAAUUGCUUGGACCCCGGAGGCAGAUGUUGCAGUAAGCCGAGAUCGUACCACUGCACUCCAGCCUGGGCAACAAAGUGAGACUCCAUCUCAAAAUAAAAUAAAAUAAAAUGAAAAUAAGCCUUUAUAUUGCAUCAAAGGAUAGCAGAAUAGCCCUCCUAUCCCAGGAACAUGGAUGCUGUUCAAGUCUCUGUAUGACACAAGAGACCCUUCACUGCCCGAGUGCAAUUUCUCUCUGCCUCAUAGACAAGGGGAACAAACUCCGGCAGAGCCAAGCAAGGGUGUGAGGGGCCAGGUGUAUUUCCAUGGCACAUUGUUGGCAGCCACGCAAACAGGUUCUGGUUAUUUAUUCCUCAUCAUUCCAGAGGCAGCAGGGACAGUGACUCCCAUAGCCUGGCAUAUCACAUCUUGUCACUCUGUCAGGGAAGACUGUCUACAUAAGAAAUGAAGGACAGAAUCAAAUCCUUUUCAUAAAUCACCAACUGACUCAAUUUGCAAAACCCAAAAUAGUAAUAAAGUUACACAAAGUCACAGUGUAUGUAACUUUAAGCAUUUUCCCAUUUUUGCACCUCUUCUUUUUUUAGCCAACCAGGAUCAAAGGCCAAAUAUCCUAUCUGGAAUAAGAAAUCCUUAAGAAAAAUGAGUAUGGGUCUUUUUGGGGUGCAUCUAUUAUAUCCUUCCAUAUUUCAUAUCUUCCCAGAGAAAUAGUGUUUGUUUUUAUUCCCCAUACCUGAGAGAAUUCUAGAAUCUCAGUCUAUUUCAGUUGUCCAGAGAGGAGAAUCGAAGGCCCAAUAGCUUCCUAAGAAUGGGUCCGGGCUUAAACACAAACAAGGCUCAGCUCUCAUGAACUUUAUCACAGAGCAGGAGGGGGGCAAAUAAUAAACUAGGAUUUUUUAGUUUAUUUAUCUGAUAGGAUUACCAGAUCAAGGUAAGUGCUCUGGAGGAAACAGGGUAAUAUGCGGGGAUGGGGAGUGACUCCAGCUGAUUCCUUUGGGACCACAGGAACAGUGAGUACAAAGACCCCAAGGCAGCCAGUCACAUCAUCCUUAUUCAAUGGGCCACUGAUGCUGACGAUAAGGAGCAAAGCUGAGAAAAGUAUGGGAUGAGAUCAGAGAUAGCCAGGACAGGUACGUGAGGCCUUGUUGGUGCUGGUGAAGAGUCUGGUUUUUAUCAUAAGUUCAGAGAAAAAUUGACAGAGGUUUUGGUGCAGGAGGAGGAACACCCUCUGCAUUAGGUUUGAAAAGGUCCCUCUGGCUACUGUGUGAAAAAGUGGUUGUAGGGCCUGUGUUUUUUGCUAGAGCUGCUGUACCAAAGUACCACUACCUGAGUGGGUUGAAACAACAGAUACUUAUUUUCUCACUGUUCUGGAGGCUUGGACUUCAAAAUCAAGGUGUUAGCAAGACCAUGCUCCCUCUGAAUCCUCUAGGGGACAAUCCUUCCUUUCCUCUUCCUAGCUUCUAUUAGUCCCAGGCAGUCCCUGGCCUGUGACAGCAUCACUCCGAUCUGCCCCAUCGUCAUGCGGCCAUCUUUCCUGUGUAACUCUGUCCCUUCUCCUCUUGCUGUAAAGACACCAGUCUGAUCGGAUUUGGCCCCACCCUCAUAACUUUGUUUCACCUUGAUUAUAUCUGCAAAGGUCUGAUUUCUAUAAAUAAGAUUACAUUCAAAAAUCACCUGAGAGUUAGGACUUAAAGAUAGCCUUUGGGGGACAUCAUUCAACCAAUAACAGGGCCAGAGGAGCAGAGGCAGGGGCUUUUAGGAGGGAAGGAAGAGGUGAGAUUCUAAACACAUUAAAUCUUGACUAUGUUUCAUAACUCUACCCACAAGACUUGUGGAGGGUGAAGGAAAGAGGACAAUUGAGAGUGACUUCUAGAAUUUCAGAUAAUGCAACUGGGAAGAUGGUGAUGCCACUUACGGAGAUGGGAGAGUAGGGGGUAGGUCAGGCUUAGAGGGCAAAUCAACAGCUCUAUUUGGGACAUGUUAAAUUUGAGAUCCCUUCUAAACACCCAAACAGAACUAUGAAGAAUAUGCUUGGGAGUAAUGUCUAGACCUCAGGUGAGGGUCUGGACUGAAAAUGUAAAUUUGGAAAUUAGUAACAUGCAGAUCUUCAUUUUGAUUUGAAUUCCAUCAUGAGACCGUUGAGAUUUUGAAUAAGGCAAUAAUAUUAAAACAAAUGAUAAAAACUAUUUUCAUCAUCUCAUAUGUUUCCCAAGAAAGUCAUUACUUUAAACUUCCAAGCGAAAAGAGAAUAUCAUGAGGCCAGAAUAUUUUUUAAGGUGAGUAGAUGCCUUGGUUUAUGUUGUGUAUUUGAAAAAGUGAUUGAACCCUGUGUUGCUGGCUUUGUUACUCAAGAACUUCUGAACUCCUGGAUUUGGUUAUCUGUCAAGGAUAGGUAUAUCUUGUCUGGCACCAAUUUUUUUCAUGUUUUGAACAAAUAUUUAUAAAUCUAAAAUAAGCUGUAAUAAAGAGUCUGGCUCCGUGGAUUGGUGGGGCUUUUAAGCCUCACCCAUCCCUCUCCAGCUCCCACAUCUGAGCAGGCUGAUAGGAAGCCUGGGUGUUCCCUCUUUGGCACCAGCAGGACACGCAAGUCGUGCAAGCCCCUUCCCAUGCACUGGAACCCUCACCCCAGCCCCACCCAUGGCCAUAAUAAAAACCUCAAGCCAGUCUCCUUUCCCUGCUUUCACAAGACAUUUUCAGACCAACCUGGGAAGCUUUCCUUGCUCUCCCCAAAAGCCUGAUAGUGUGUGUAAUAAACCUUUUUACAGUAUCUUUGUAUGUGUGUGGCAUCAUCAGUCUCAACAUCCAAAUUUUGGGUGCAAGUCUAUCCUGCUUCUUCAAAGCUAACCUCCCAGAAAUCAGGGAUGAAGCACUGUCUAGGAAAGAAAAGACAUGCUUAGCAUUACUAUAUAAAAGAAAAAAGCAGCUUAGGGCCUGAUGAAACAGCUGGAUCCAUGAGAGAGGAAUCUCAUGAGCCUGGGGUCACUCAGUAAGACCCCCACCUCCUUAGCCUGGCUUUUCCAUGACGCAGUAAGACCCUCCCAGCUAGCCACCGCUACAAAAGCCAUCGGAGGGAGCCAUUCUCCACGGAGCAGCAGCAGCAAAGCAUGGGUGGAAAGAGGACUGGGGGCUGGCUGGCCUUCCUUGGGGAAUUCUUUUCCAAUACAAAUCAAAAUCUACUUUGCAAGCGAAGUGUUCGUAAAUUGUAGAAAUUCACCUCAUGGUAUAGGGGCCAGAGGAUGAGUAGGGGAGAAAAAGAGAUGAAGAAAGGAUUAUGAAGCCUUGGCCAGAGUGAGAGGGCCAAAAUGACACCCUCUAGCUGGUCAGAAUAAGACAAAGGAUCGAAUUACCUGGAAAGCAUAUGCGUCUGUGGAGUGAAUAUUCUUUCCUCUAAACCACUCAGAGUUUUCAGGGGAAGUCCUCGGAGAAUCAGUAACCUCUAAACAUAUUACAUCUUGACUAUGCACCUGUUUCGUACUUGUUAGCAGGAAAUGUGCACUAAAUUACAGGAACGCACAGCCAGGAAAGAGGGGUCGUGGUCUGGGUGCAAGUGGCAGAUGUAAGGGCAACGUGGACAAAACCCAUGGAGGUCGCAAAAGACACAAGAAAACACACCCUUUGGUCUGGUUCAGAAGGAAGCAGGAAGGAACACACGGGGACCUUUGGGUGCUAUAGAAAGAGGAUGAGAGAGCUGGGACUGCACCCUAACAGACGGGAAACUCAUUGAACAACUCUCUUCCUUGAUUUCUCUUCUAUAAAAUAAUGAGGUUAAAUUGGAUGAUCUCUAAAGUCUGAAAUCACUACCUUUCCAUAAUUCAUGGUCCCUAAAUCAAAAGCAUCAGGCUUAACAAUCCGAAAGGAGGCCGGGAGGGAAUAUGACCAGAUUCAGUUCCCUUCCAGCAGAUCUUUAUUAUUAUUUUUUUCUUUAAUCUGUGAGUCCAUCUGAACAAGAUGCCAACCUUCAUACCCCAGAAGUAAAGUAAGAUCCCCCACUGAGUCCCGGGGUCCCUGGGAAUCCACUGCCCUCCCUGGGGCUGGAGCGCUGGGUGCCAGUCUCCACUCUCCACCACACUCCUCUUUUGACCCCACCGCCAGUCACGAGGCCGCUGGGAAAUAACUCAAUCCCUUCAGCUCCUGGCGAUAACUUAUACAGGGUUUCUCCACGGGAACUGCCAAAAACAUCUAAGCUCCUUCCCGCAGUUGGGAAUCGCUGCCCUGCAAAUGAAAAAGGAGACUAAACAAGAGCAGGGAGGCGGUGCAGGCCCCCGACAGCGCAGAAGCCGCUGGACCUGCAGCUGACUGAAGCCCACAAAAUGCGCACCAGGAAAAGGCUGGUUUCCGCUCCGUUUUUAAAGCAUGAGAGAAGCUACUGAGAACUGAAAAGUAAAGUCAGAAUGCUUUGAAGGAUAUAUAUGCUAAUGUUUUUACAUUAUGCUUUUGGCCAGCAAGCCACCAGAACAUCUGUUUCUAGCUAGGAGACUGCUCUCGGGAAACACUUUGGCAAAUGUUCCCCUCCCACCUCGCAGCCCCACCCUUAGGCCAACCCCUCCUCACCGCCCGCUCCACGUAAAAAGCAAGAACAAGGGGCACGAAGUCCAGGAGGUCUGUGGUCCUGGCUGCUGGAGCCCGCGCCUGGCUCUCGGUGCUCAGCGCUGAGUUUCCAUGAGGCUCCCCAGGUGAGGACCUGCCAGAGCACAGCAACGCGGCAUGGGCAGGCACCUCCAGGCCUGGCUGGCAGCGCCCUGGGAGUGGUCCCCUGGUACCUCUGCGGCGGAAAGAGGGUAACAACAGGCUUCCUAUCUGAGGCUAACCCCUAGGUCGACGUACCAGGUCUCCAGCUGUUAUUCUGACUGCCUCCAUCUCCAGCUGCGGUGUGAUUGCUGGAGCCCCCGUCCUUCACCGUCGGCCCUGGAAACUUCCCAGUGAAAGAUACAAGAAACAGGGAGAGGUGGCCGGCUUAGUCCGAUUUGUGCUGCUCUAACAGAAUACCUGAAACUGGGUAAUUUAUAAAGGAACAGAUAUUUAUUUCUUACAGUUCUGGAGACUGGGAAGUCCAAGAUCAAGGGCCUGCAUCUGGUAAGGGCCUCCUUGUGGUGUUAUCCCAUGGACGAAGGUAGAAGAGCAAGAGAGGAAGGAGGCCGAAUUUAUCCUCAUGUCAGGAUCCCAUCCUCAAUAACGAACCCACUCCCUCAGGAACAGCAUUCAUCCACUCACUAGAGCAGAGCCCUCAUCUCCUAAUCACCUCUCUUAAAAGUCCUGCCUCUCAACACAAUUGUGUUGGGGAUUGAGCUUCCAACACAUGAACUUUGGGGACACGUUCAAACCAUGGCAAUGGCUGUCCUCAUGUUGAAUAUUAACUGAGAUAAAGUCUAUCUACUAGACUUGAAGACCCUGCAGGAAUUACCACUAAUUCAUAUGUCUAAACUGCAAUAAAUUAUAGCAGGAAAUAAAAUGGAAUUUCCAGGAGCUAAACGAGAAGAUCUUAUGAACACAAAGAAGAAAGCAACAGACAUUGGGGUCUGCUUGCAUGGGGAGGGUGAGGGAGGAGAGGAGAAGAAAAGGUAACUAUUGGGUACUGGGCUUAGUACCUGGGUGAUGAAAUAAUGUGUACAGCAACCCCCCGGGACACGUGUUUACCUAUGGAACAAACUUUCACAUGCGCCCCCAAACCUAAAAUAAACAUUAAACAAAUAAAAAUAGAAAUAGGAUGGAAUUCUGCUUUGCCUCCUUAACAUUAUGAGUUUUUUCAUAAUCUUCUAUUUUGUGUGUCUGAUAUUUGAAUCUUUGAAAUGUUUGAUCAUUUCAAACACCAGCUCUAUCUUCUCCCUCAUCAUGGGUAUCAUGUUAUGGAAUUCACUUCUCCCUUCUUCUCUGCACACUUAAAGGUCUUCACAAAAAUGUUUAAAUCUCUUUACCCCCUUUUGUCUAUGAAGUUCUUUAUCCCAUAGAAGGGGUGACAGGCUAGGAGGCUGAAGGACAUCAUGCAUUCUGACAGAGAAAUAACACUUUCACUACAAACUGAAAAAUGUACCCUCUUGAGUCAGUAUUUCCCUCGUGCUAUUUACACAGUCCUAUGAAAUAAGGAAACGUGGAAAGAUCACUCUACCUUGAGGGCCCAGAAGAGUGAGCGAUGGCCCUCUGGCUUCAGGGGAGCCCAUGGUUAGCAGGCCACUUAACAGGAGAAGCCCUUCCUGGUUUAAAACUUCAUCUGUUUCAUGUUAUCCUCAUUUCUUUCCAGACCAUUCUUCACCCUCCUUGCCUUCUCCCUACUGGCAUCUCAGGCCUGACGUCACGGCUGUGUGUGAGGUGUAAAUGUGUGUAGUGUGAAUGUGUGUGUGGCGUGAAUAUAUAUGUGGUGGAUGUGUGGUGUGUGGUGUGUAUAGUAUGUAUGUGUAUGUGGUGUGUGGUGUGAACGUGUGUGCAGUGUGUGUGUGUGGUGUGAAUGUAUAUGUGGUGCAUAUGUGGUGUGUAUAGUAUGUAUGUGUAUGUGGUGUGUGGUGUGAACGUGUGUGUGGUGUGUGUGUGUGGAUGAUAGGGGUGGUGUGUACAUGGUGUGGUGUGUGUGUGUUUGUGGGUGGGUGUGUGUGUGUGUAGGGGGAUGUUCCUCUGGUUCUCACAGCCGCCAUGUCAAUGUCUUGUUGACGCAAACCUCUGUCUUGGAAGUCAGCUUCUGUCUCCACUGCCAGGUUUCUUGGAGCUUUUAAUAUGCCAGUGUGCAUCAUGGAAUGUAGUACUUGACACAGGUGCUUAUUGGCAGGCAGGGGCCCUGCUGGUCCCAGCCAUCAAGUUAUCUCUUCUUCUUUAAUGUGAUGAAUACACCUCUUUUGGAAGCCCUAUGUUGCCCUCAGAAUCACCAAGGAGCAUGCAGUUAGUGAGCAAAAAUUAAAUACCAGCCUCUGGCAAACCUAAAUCCAAAUAUGUCCCCAUUACUAAGUACAGUAUAGUAGCCCUAUAGGCAAUGGAUGGGACUAACUGCAUAUAAAUGACCAGCUUUGUCACCCAGGUUAGAGUGCAAUGGCAUGAUCUUGGCUCACUGCAACCUUUGCCUCCUGGGUUCGAGCAAUUCUCUUGUCUCAGCCUCCUGAGUAGCUGGGAUUAUAGGCAUGCACCACCAUGCUUGGCUAAUUUUGUACUUUUAGUAGAGACGGGGUUUCACCAUGUUGAUCAGGCUGGUCUAGAAUUCCUGACCUCAGGUGAUCCACCUGCCUCAGCCUCCCAAAGUGCUUUCUAUCAGAGCAUUUUGGAACUUAAAAGUUGUCCUCACUGUUGAGUUGUAAAGAUACUUGUCUCAAUGGAUUAGCAUCCUACGUGUUCUGCCCUGAAAUGUAACCUUAGAUAGAAAUCUAAGCUUGAACACCCAUUGCUCUGCAAGUCCAGGACAAGAGUCUAUUGCCAAAACCCUAGCUGAGUUUUCCAGAAAGAGCCCAUCUGAAGACUAGGGAUGUUCUAUCUUCCUCUAAUUGCCUCCUAACCUCUUCCCCAUUCCACCCUACCAGAUCAUUCCAUAAUGGAGGAGAUGAAUGCUUUUAUAAUCCAUUAGAGGAAACCCAUAGAGGCCUCACCCAAAGCAGAUCUGCAGUGAGCAUUUGUGUCUAAUAAAGAUGCUGAAAACUGCCAACUCACCCUCAUCAGAACCAGCAGACACUCACCACACACAAAGCAACA
rnacentral:lncRNA from 1 species